rnacentral:rRNA from 1 species
CUACGGGCGGCUCCAGUGGGGAAUAUUGGGCAAUGGGCGAAAGCCUGACCCAGCAACGCCGCGUGAAGGAAGAAGGCUUUCGGGUCGUAAACUUCUAUCCUAGGUGAAGAUAAUGACGGUAGCCCAGAAGGAAGCCCCGGCUAACUACGUGCCAGCAGCCGCGGUAAUACGUAGGGGGCAAGCGUUGUCCGGAAUGAUUGGGCGUAAAGGGCGCGUAGGCGGCCAUGUAAGUCCGAUGUGAAAGUCCUGCUUUUAAGGAGGGAAUUGCAUUGGAAACUGCGUGGCUUGAGUGCAGGAGAGGUAAGCGGAAUUCCCGGUGUAGCGGUGAAAUGCGUAGAGAUCGGGAGGAACACCAGUGGCGAAGGCGGCUUACUGGACUGUAACUGACGCUGAGGCGCGAAAGUGUGGGGAGCAAACAGGAUUAGAUACCCCGGUAGUC